ACGAACGCUGGCGGCGUGCUUAACACAUGCAAGUCGAACGGAAAGGCCCUGCUUUUGUGGGGUGCUCGAGUGGCGAACGGGUGAGUAACACGUGAGUAACCUGCCCUUGACUUUGGGAUAACUUCAAGAAACUGGGGCUAAUACCGGAUAGGAGCUCCUGCUGCAUGGUGGGGGUUGGAAAGUUUCGGCGGUUGGGGAUGGACUCGCGGCUUAUCAGCUUGUUGGUGGGGUAGUGGCUUACCAAGGCUUUGACGGGUAGCCGGCCUGAGAGGGUGACCGGCCACAUUGGGACUGAGAUACGGCCCAGACUCCUACGGGAGGCAGCAGUGGGGAAUAUUGCACAAUGGGCGGAAGCCUGAUGCAGCAACGCCGCGUGCGGUAUGACGGCCUUCGGGUUGUAAACCGCUUUCGCCUGUGACGAAGCGUGAGUGACGGUAAUGGGUAAAGAAGCACCGGCUAACUACGUG
rnacentral:rRNA from 1 species